GGGGAAUUUUGGACAAUGGGCGCAAGCCUGAUCCAGCUAUGCCGCGUGUCUGAAGAAGGCCUUCGGGUUGUAAAGGACUUUUGUCAGGGAAGAAAAGGCUGUUGCUAAUAUCGACAGCUGAUGACGGUACCUGAAGAAUAAGCACCGGCUAACUACGUGCCAGCAGCCGCGGUAAUACGUAGGGUGCGAGCGUUAAUCGGAAUUACUGGGCGUAAAGCGAGCGCAGACGGUUACUUAAGCAGGAUGUGAAAUCCCCGGGCUCAACCUGGGAACUGCGUUCUGAACUGGGUGACUAGAGUGUGUCAGAGGGAGGUAGAAUUCCACGUGUAGCAGUGAAAUGCGUAGAGAUGUGGAGGAAUACCGAUGGCGAAGGCAGCCUCCUGGGAUAACACUGACGUUCAUGCUCGAAAGCGUGGGUAGCAAACAGGAUUAGAUACCCUGGUAGUCCACGCCCUAAACGAUGUCAAUUAGCUGUUGGGCAACUUGAUUGCUUAGUAGCGUAGCUAACGCGUGAAAUUGACCGCCUGGGGAGUACGGUCGCAAGAUUA
rnacentral:rRNA from 1 species